rnacentral:misc_RNA from 1 species
CGUAAAGGUGCAUGAGUGGUGUUUGGUUUGUUACGGGUGGUUGGCUCUUUGCUUGCGCAACAACUUCCACCUGGCUUACCUCUUCAAUUAUGCGUCAAGGAUUGUAAGAUCUUUGAGCGUAUUGUGGGUUUCCUGUGUUGACUUCCAAUGUGUAGGUAUCGUUUCGGCUAAUUGAAGUCCCUUUUCAUCUAGUGUUGCCUUUGUGAUUCAAGAUGAACAACGAAGUGGUCUCUAUGUUCCACAACAACGUUAAUGCUAAUGUAUUGAUGUUGUGGGCCAUUGAGGGUCGCUUGUUUUCAUGGAUACGGAACAUAAUGUGGGCAUGGGGUCUUUUAUGGCUCUUGAUUUGUCCUCGUCAAGUGUUCUUCGAUACGACGGUUCAUGCGCGCCUAGGCUCGUACCUGCGUGAUGAACUUAGUCAAAGAGGAAUGCUACCUGGUUGAUCCUGCCAGUAGUCAUAUGCUUGUCUCAAAGAUUAAGCCAUGCAUGUGUAA